AUCGACACUUUGAACGCAUAUUGCGGCCAAGGGUCCGUCCUUUGGCCACGCCCGUCUGAGGGUCGGC
rnacentral:rRNA from 1 species